UCAAUCAACAUCAAUGUAAAGAUCAUAGCUAAUUGUAUACUACUUUUUGAAAUGUUUAACUUUGAAUAAAUAUCAAGUGCCUAAAUAAAUUAGAAAUUAUAUCUCUUAUAAUCUAAAUCCCUGUUAAAUUCAUAAAUUACCAUUGUAAGCUCAAGUACCUAAAUAAAUAACUUCAACUUGCAUUUAAAUUCAAUUAUUUCAAUAUGUAACAGGUUUGGUUUCAUAUUAUUUAGUAAACUAAUACCUAUCCAACAUAUUAUACAAAGAAAUUAAUUACAUUUAUUAAAUUUUGAAAGAAAACCAAAAAGUCCCAGGUAAUAACUAAACUAAAUAGCUCCCGUGUUAUUUUUCGGCUCCCACCCGGUAUAAAUACGGGCCGCCACUGAGCAAGCGCAUCAUUCGUAGCUCAACUCCCUGAGAGACGGACCUCUUCGCUUACUUUGCCAUUUCUACCAUUUCCUUCGCAGUUUAAUAAUUGACGUAGACCGCCUUUGUGUCUUUUGUGAUUAUUUGUUGCUUGAAAAGUUUAGUAAGAUCUUAACUUCCAUGAUGAUGAACCCCCAACGUGAGGUAAGUGAAAAAUUCAACAUUUUGUGUCUAGUGAAGUGAAUUGGCCAAAUCGAGGUUCCCAAAACCGGAGUCUGGCAAUAAAAAAAGUGUUUUCUUGUUUAAAUCAAUAUUAACCGAUGUCGGUAGUUUGUAUUUUUUUUUUCAAUCGAGCGAGACGUCUCGUUUAAUUUCUUUUUAUUCUUAUUGUUCCUUCGUAUACCGUAAGUAACCUAAAGAAAAGUGUUUUCAUAUUUUUAAUUCAUUUUCAUUUCAAUAUCAAUGUAGAUGUAGUCAGGCGAAUUUUGUUCUAGAAUAAGUAGUUAGUAGAUAUGUAUUUUUACCCUAUGUAAUAAUAACGUAGUAUAGGUCGACUGCUGCGCGAGUCGCGACCUUUCUUAAGCCUGUAUUUUUACUCGACUGCGCCAGAAGGAGGGUAAUGUUUUUUCCAAUAAAUCCUCAAGUAAACAAACUCUUUGCAGACCAGCCCCACCAUCCUCCACUCGGAUGUCAUCGCCGACCGUCGCAGCGUCUUCCAAGGUCAUGUCGCUCCUGUCACCUGCCUCGACGACGUACGCCAGGUCCUGAAGGACCUUAAAAAAAAUAAGAAAAUUCUUAACGCGAAGCAUAACACCUUCGCGUUCAGGAUCGAAGGUCCGGGCGGCGUCGUCGAGGACUAUGACGACGAUGGCGAGGCGCACGCCGGCAGUAAAAUUUUAGAUUUAAUGUUUAAAAUGAACGCUCGAAACGUUGUGGUGGUGGUCACGAGAUGGUUUGGAGGAAUCCAGAUAGGGGCGGACAGAUUCCGCCACUAUCUGGCGGCCACGCAGCAGGCGCUGGCGCUGUCCAAUAAACUGACGACGUGCGCCGGCGCCGUAACUGACGGGAAAAAAUCAAAUAAAAAUAAAAAAUGCAGGAAAAAAAAAUAAAAAACAAAAACUGAA